rnacentral:lncRNA from 1 species
GGUAUCAACAGAGAGUUUCGAACCCUGAUCACACAGUAUCGGACCUAAUGAGGCAGCCCCAACACCAGCCGACCUGAGGGGCACCUAGCUACUCCUUAUAAUUAUAAUUAGCUACCAAAUGAAUCAACCCAAAAUCCCAAUGGCCCCAACUACUAGUACAAUACACACAAGUCUUUAUCUUACUAAUAAUUCCCACCUCAUAUUUCCUUUUCAUUCUCGCACCACAAUUUGUUUGGACAGAGGAUUGUUUGUUAAAAUUUAUUUGCUUAACACAUCAUCAUUACAAUUUUUAACACAUUUUUUUAUCUUUCAAAUUACCUUUUUAUCUCACAUAUAUUACAUCACAAAAAGUGUUACAGUAAAAAUAUCUCAAAUAAUUUACAAUCCAAACAGAUUUAGAGCAGCACGCACAGGACUCUUGCUGUUGCUGUGCAUCUUAUAAUUUUGAGCGGAUGGCCACUGAACUUUUGGAAUCGUCGAAUUUUCAUUAUUGAACAAUUUAAAGUUUGGAUUUCGGAAUCGUUAACUAUACCUUUAUCUUUUGUCUCAUGAAUCGUGCGGACGUUCAGAUCUGGCAUGGUUAACGAUCGGAUCUAACGGAAUGACUCGAAACCUAAACUUUAGAUAAUUCAGUGAUCAAAAUCAAAUUUUUAAUAAUUUGCUGACCAAAACUCAAACGAUUCUAAAACUUUAAUGGCCACUCAAAUAAUUUGCUCUAUAAUUUUGUUUGUCAGGUGACAAGAUUUGAUUUAAUUGGCGGACAGAAGCAAAUUAAAUACGAACUCCACAACUUCACUAUAUUGUCACGAAGGUAGUUAAGACUACGUUCACUAUAUUGUCACGAAGGUAGUUAAGACUACGUUGCAAUGCCCGGCCUUGUUUGGAUUGCUUGUUUCCGUCGAAAAAUAUUAUCGUUUUCCGUGAUCACAUUUCCCUAUCACAUUUUUUCCUCACAUAUAUCAAAUCGUUACAGUAAUUUUUCCAUAAAAAAUGACAAAAAAUACAAUCCAAACACAACCUGAGAUUUUCUCAAAAAAAGAAGCAGAAGAGGUUACCAAGUCAUUGAAUUUGUUUUCGUAUCCUAUGAAUCACGAAUCGUGCAUAUUAUUUAUUCCAAUCUCGAUCGUCCUCCUCCUUUUUUUCAGUUCGAUGUCACCUCACCUCUGUCGUAACUCAUAAGCGUAAGGAUUACUACUAUAGAAUUUUUUUUUUUUUAGAACAGGAAAGAGUCUCUGGGCAUCCGUAUAUCAAUCAAUCUGUCGGCUACAUCCCACUUCUUCUUUUCUUUGUAUCUAAGCUUGUCAGCCACACCAAUAAAUAACGUUCAAUUCUCUCUCCAACAAUAAAUGAACAUCAUAUCUGUAAUACCUGCAACGCGCAUCAGGAUGUUUGCGUGUCGCAAUUCAAUAAAAAUGAACAUUAAUUAUUGUCAUGAAGGUUGUUAAGACUUAAGACUACGUUGCAUCAUUGAAUUGUAUUUGUAUUGUACUAUUAUUAUACCUUUGGAUCCAAAUUUUUCUUGACCAGAACCCAUACUUCUCCGGUUCCGCUCCGGGACUCCCAUAACCCAUACUUUGUAUAUACAUACACAUUCCUCAUUCCUCAAACAAUAAUAAAAAGCGCCUCCAUGAGAGUUGAUCCACUGCCCACCAAAUUGCUAACCCACUCAUCAUAUCAGUUCCUAUGGCUACGGCGAUUCAACCCCUACAUUCUGCAAAAACAAAUUAACUGAAGUUCUCGUCAAUACCCAAACAUGCCUACUAGAACAAUGCCCCGACCAGUUUUUCUCAAGGCAGUCUGAUGCUUUAGCCAUCAGAGCAAAGGGAACUCACACAGAUCCCUACUACCACUCACUAACUCGAGGAGUCCCGUGUUUCAUCGCCAAGCAACUAACGUUCUGCUGCACGACAAAUCCUGAUGGGACGUGCAAUUUCAAUUCUUACUUUGCUGCUAAUGAUCAGGGGCAUGGCCAAUGCACUCUGGGAGCUUGGCCUUAAGAGUCCCUAUGCUCUGGGAGUAAAAAAUCAAAAAGGUCGAUGAUGUACACCAUCAAGACGAACAGUACCAAUGCCAGAACAUCUAAAGAGUUUCAGAAGAGAAAAGCUUCAAAAUUACGACAGCUUAUCAACAACCUUCCUUCAGACCACUUCUCCAUAUUAUUGCCAACAAAACAAAACCAGAGAGAGAUCGGUCAAAGAUGACAGACAGGUGGUGAAAUCAAACAAACACCGUACUUGUAACUCAACUUACACCAGAAAUGCGCAGCAACAACGUACGUGUUCUAUUUUCUGAAAUAUAUAACAAACCAAUAUGAUAACUAGUGAAGACAAGAUAGGAGGGUCCAGAAGAGCAGAAUAAAAGAAAAACUAGCAAGUGUCACGCUUGAAAAGCAGGUACGCGAGAGAACACCUUAGGUAGCUGCUGCAGAAGCUUCUUGGUAGAGUUUUUUUUUUUGACUUGCUGCUAGUCCACACUCAAGCGGUGAAUAGAUAGUACUAGUAGAAAAGUAAUAGUCCAAUUUUACACGGGCACCUAAAAACAGUGGUUCGAUUGACCUAGGUACUAUAAUACAGCAGUUAAAUUCCAGUAUAGGGCUGGCUUUGGCUGUUGCAGAGGAAAGACGAGAAGCAAAGAGAUUCACAGAGUCGCACCGCCGUCCAUCUAUCAGCUAGAGCUAGUGCGAGAGGAGGAGCUAAGAAGGCAGUAAGUGAAAAAAUAGAACAAAAAAAAAAAGAGUGAAUCCAGAAUCAAUUACUACUUGGUGGGUUCCAGAGCAGGGACCCAUUUGCCGUGGACCCAUUCCCGAUGCAAGCGGAGAUCGGUCUCGGGAAAAUCAAGCUGCUCGCGGGAACUUCGGAAGAAGACGGAAUACCUGGUUAUGGGAGGAGGAGCUGUUGGCGUUGUAGGUGGGGGAAGACAUGGAUGACGAUACCUUCCACCAGCCGUCGUUGUGGAAGGCGUCGACUUCGUCGCUGACUUGGAAGGAGCGGCGGGGCUCGCGGGAGGGACGGGGCGGACGAGGAUAAGGUCAACGUGCUCUUGAAGGGGGCUGGACCCGGGUUCGUCGUUGGCCACCAGAGUGUGGAACUGUAAGUAGAUCUUGUUGGUCUUCUUGGAAACGGGGCGGAGGACGGUGGCGGUGUACCAAGACCCUCUAAACCCCUCCUCCUCAAAGCUCACUUCCACUUGUGCUCCUUUCUUGAAGGAAACAUUGUCAACUCCUCCUCCUCCUCCUGCUGCCGCCGCCUCCAUGCCUGCCCUUUUUCUGAGGACACGCUACUAGUUUCUAACGACUACUACUACUACAGUCUACACUACUACCACUUCCCUCUCCCUCAAUUUACUUUCCUUUCCCACUAUGAGGCUAUGACAGAGAGAUAGAAAGCAGAGCGGAUGGAGCCAAAAAUAAAACGCCACCGACGGCCCCACCGCUGUUCUCUUGUUCACUUCUCUCUGCCCACCCACUGCUAAGUGCUAACCGUCCUGGGUAUGGUACUGCGGAGCUGAGCUGAGAAGCGAUAACCUGUGAAUUGAGAAAAUUUAUUGUAAUUUUUUUUUUAUUAGCAUUGGCGUCAAAACAAAACAAAAAAAAAAAACAUAUUAUUAUUUAUUAGAAGAAUGCUUUUAAAAUUAUUAAGUUCUAAAAGAAUGCUAAACUCCGUUGUGGUAGUUUAUAAGUAUUCAAUGGAGGUGGCAAAAGAUUUGAGUGCCAAACAUAGCGUGCUAUUUUCAAUAUCUACAAGUACAACACAAUAAAAAAAAAAAAACAUAGAAGGAAAACCAAACAUGGAAUAGAUAAUAUAAACAAAAAUUAAGAUGAGCAAAUACUAAAAACAAUUUAUUAGGAUAUCAACAUUUCAUAAACAAUAAAAAAAAAGAAAUUUCAACCGCAAUACUAAAUAAUACCUAGAGUUGACAAAAAGCAAUUGCAUGAUCAACCUAAAAUAGGAAACAAAGGGUUAAAUGCACAAACAAAACUCCCUCGUGAUUUUGUCGACGUCGACAAGCCGUUCUGUACUGCAUGUAUUUUCAAAAUAUCCACAUAACUUCUCAUCGUGAUUCAAACUAAACACCUUGUAGUUAAUAAUAAUAUUUUUUGGCCGAAUAUACUCUUAAAAAUAAAUUAUGUAUACCUUAAAGCACCUACUAUUAUAUAUUAUUUUUUAUCCCACUAAAAUUGCACAGUUAAAUAAUUUGUCUAUUGGUUUCAAGAUUUUCUUAAUAUACUUUUAAUUUUGAAAAAAAAAAAAGUAGGAGGACAGAGGGCACUUUGGAAUGAAAUUAUGAUUUUUUUAAUAAUAAAUUUUACAAGUACUUUUCAUAAAAAUUACACCUUAUUUAAAAUGUAAUAUUACAUUAUUGUGAUUAGUAUUACUGACAACAACUGCCCGGAUCCGCAUCCACUGCAGGUCCCUCUUUUAAAGGGCUCAGUCACAUGCUACCACGGCACGGCACCAAUUAAUGAUCCUCCGCAGCAGCGCACGCACCACCUUCUCUCUUUAUUCCUUGUACUACUACUGCUAUAUAUAUAUAUAAAGGAUAUCCCACAGCUCAUCUCCAUUUUUAUUCAACUAAGCUGUGCCAGGCAACCACCUGGAAUUUUAACAAGGACGAUGAGUAGGAAUAACCUAUUCUUUUGCGCAAAAUUCGUGGUAGGAGGAAAAAGAGAAUAUAUAGUUCUAUAUCCAUGUUGAGCAUGAUGAUGCCAACCUGUAACUAUCUCAGUUUCAAUCUCCCAACCCCCAUUGCAGGCGUAACAACGAAAGCAAGAUUCUGGAAGAACCAGACAAAAUAAUAUAAACACAGAAACUUUUUAGGUUGCUGUCUUUCAUUCACAACCGCCUGUUCGGAAAAAGAUUCUCACUCGCAGCUUGCAUUUACUCGCCUUUUUUUCUUUCAUCUCACCGGAAGAGGCCUCAACUUCAGUUGACAUUCCACCACUUCUGCCUUUCGCAACAAAACAUCUCUACCUUCUCUUCCCUUUCAAAAAAAACUGCACGACCGACCGUCUCUCCCUCCACAACAAAAAGCGCUCCCCUUAUCGAUUAACUAGCUCCGAGCUUAGCUAGCCCCUUUGGUAUGUUCAGAUCAUCAGUGUCUCUUUUAAACUGUUUCAGCUCCAUCUCCAACUCCAAGCCACGAUAUUAAUUCAUACUAGAAUAUAAGCUAUGUCCAACAAUCGAGACACAAGGCCCCAACACAUGUACAAGAUACGUCUACGCCAUUAACAGCUACAAUACUAGCAAAAGCUUACAAAUGAGUGAACAAAAAAAAAACUACUGAAAUCCGGGGUAAAAACUUAAAUCACAUUCCCACCUGGAACAUCAAUAACCUAACGCCACUCAAACUAAAGUAGCUAAGCCUUGAAAAUCACUCUGCACAUUUGUGAUGCCUUUCCUAAUUCCUUCCAGUUUAGACUGCAGCGAAGUAAUUUCACGAUCCUUUGUCGCCUUCAUUGACGCAACUUGUGACAGCUUUUCCUGCAAAUUCUUCAUCUGGUUGUUUAUCUCUUCCUCCUCUUCAUCAAAUUUAGACUUCUCAAGGUUGUGCUUUUCAAUUUCACCAUGCAGUUGCUCUACCUGAUCUUGAAGCUUUUCCUGCUCUCUUUCAUUGUCAUCAAGUGGGUUACACGAUCUCGUACAACCCCAACAUCGAAUCCAUGGCUUUCUAGUUCCACAAGCGUUUCCAAUGUCAUCGAUGGUGCUUUUGGGAUCAUCAAACUUCAGCCUCGAGGUUCUCUCCACCACACUAGAAAAGGUAACCAUAAAACCUAUGGCUAAUCCUUCUCGAGAACUUUCUUUACACUGUUCUAAAGGCUGAAAAUGUGGCUUUUGUGGCAACUUCUGGAAAACUUGCAUAGAUUCAAGUGUUGACCAGAGCAAGGUGUUCUUCACAAAAGGCAAGUUCUGAACCUCACGUAACAAUUUCCUGUUUGUCAACUGCAUGAUUUUCAUUGACAAUUGCUAACUGUCCAUUACUGGCCACAGCACAUUGCUCAACGCACUUCUUGUUGGCGAAAGCCCUAAAAGGCAGAAAAAGAAAAGUAGGAAAAAUGAAAACAGGGGGGGAGGGGGCAAAAAAUAUACCAUCAUGAAACAGCAGAAAAAAAAAAGGACAAAUCUCCAGCUUACUUGAGGCAUCAUUAGUGGUCGGUGAAUUCAUUUGGAACCACUUCGAAAGAGGUUGAUCCUCAAAUGUGUUUGCAGGCAAUUCUUCAACGACUUUUCUAGUUCUUUUGUCAUGCAACUUGAUUCAGUUACUUUGCUCCCACUUGAAUUUGGAGAAUCUACAUUUUCCACACACAGAGCUAAAAAGAGAUGAAAAAAAAUCCAGAACUUCAUGCACUUAUCUCACAAUUGAUGAAAUAUCCAUCUACACUCAAAAUGAUCCUAACAAGAAUUUGUGUGGCAUCGGCAAUAUGCAUAUUACAACUAGGAAAAUUCUGACAUUAGAGGGGAAAAAAAAAAACUCUUCAGAAUGAGGCUUUGCUUACCUUGAAAUUGAGAGACACUGUUUAAAUUAACUGUCCGUCUUCUACCUCUCUUUGAGGAAUGCCUUUCUUGCUGCUUGGUUGUAGCUUCAACAACUUCCUCACUCAGCUUUCUCAAUGCUGACAAUAUUGCAGUACUGCCUGUUUUAUUUUUCUGCUUUUCCUGGUUCCGAAUGAUGUGCUUACCACUGCCAUUGAUUACACAUUCCUGGCCAGGAACUGAAGAAUCCAUCAUUGCUGACUUUACUUCAACAUCUUGAAGAGAAUCAUUUUCACUUAUCAAACAGUCUUUCACAAGCAAUUCAUGAAUAAUGACUUCUUUUCGUGGCUCCUCUGGAAACAGUGAAACAAGAGCAUUCAGCAACUUCCCAUAGACAACAGUCAUUGUGGCUUGAGAAUGUAAGAUUCUACCUGAAGCUAAAGUAAUAGAACUGUUGGUGGCAACUUUCCGAGGCCGUCCCCUCCGUCUCUUUGGAAUCUUUUCUUCGGAGUCUAACUGGAUGCUGUCCUACUCAAACAACACCAAAAAAACAGUUCCACAGGGAGUUCAAAAACAAAAGAAAAAUACUGAAUAAAGAUGAAAUAAUAUAUAUUUAAAGGAGGACAGAGCUAUAACUCAAUAUAGGACCCGACAGUGAGACUAGUUAGUGUAGCUGAUGCUAGAAGGGACAUAGGUAUACAUAUUAGAAGUAUGAAACAAGAUUAAUAACACUGCUUUACAUAUUGAGUUUUUUUUUUUUUUUUUUCAAAAAGUAGCCUUGAUAUAGUUAGAUUCAUAACUGGUGUUGGUUCCUCAAGCAAGCACAAGCUUAAUCUUAGACCAAUAAAAAUUGAUUAGUGAUUCCAAUUCUAUUUUAAGCUUGGGUCUACAAAAGCAUAAGUAUCUCACACCACACCUUUCCCAACUUGCAAAGUAUGGCUGUCUGACACACUUACAGCAGAUAUCAAUACUGCUAAGAAACAAUCUGUUAACAGACCCUUGACAACCGUCACCGAGGUGACUACUAGGUCACACCUUUAGGUGGAAAACACCAACAACUCAAUGUGGCAAAAGUCUGAUCCCUUAUCUCAUCCCAUAGUUGUGUUUGGCAAAUUCUUUAGCGGUCAAUGUAGUGCUUUUCUUUUUAACUGUGAUCAAACCAUCUUAAUCUUAUAACAUAACAUAAUCAUCUUAGCAUAGAAUUUCAACUCAAUUACAUUCAUUGUUUCACCAUUUACAACCAAAUCCAGUCCUCUGUUAAAUAGAAUUUUCUUUUAGUUUAGCAGUAUACAAUCAUCACUGCUAGAGAUUGUAAAGCUAUGAGAUUUCAGACCACAAUAAAUGAAAAACUUGAGAACAGAUUGCCCUGCCAACCAAAACUACCAAUGCAUCAAGAGCUAUUUAUCAUCACAAAACUCACUUUUAUACUUGAGAGUCCAUUAUCAUUCAAUCCAGCAUGAUUGUCUGGAAGCUUUGACAAUUCCUCACCACCAGAUAGACAAGCUUUUCUGGUACUUGAGUUGCUGCCUUUGUCACAUUCCAAUCCUAGGACAACAGGAAGGUUGGUUUCUGUUGUCACGCACUCUUCCUGAACACCUUCAGCAGCAUCUACUCCUGCAUCACCCUCCCUGCCUGCUUAAAACUCGGAAUCGCACUUGAAUGAACAUGAAAAAAAAAUGCGAUACAACAGAUAAAGAGGAAUUGGAAAUCAAAUUUCAUACUUCCACUUGAAGUUGUUGGGCUUUUUACUUGCACUUUCCUAGAACUGCUGCUAGUUCUCCCAGAACCUGAUGUACGAUUGUCGUCCUCUUCAGAAGUCUUUAUUCGUUUCCUCUUCUGCACAAGUUCACAAAAGUCUUGGUUACAAAUACUCGAGGCGCAACGAAUGAAUUAAAAUAUUUAAAAAAAUGCAUUAAACAAUUCAUCAAUUUUCCAGAUUACAUCAUCAGCUUGCUGCUUAAUAUAAUGGACCUAUCCCUCCAACUUGUCUCAUGAAAAAUAGCAUUCACCACACAUCGCAUGCAAAUCAUGAUUCUUUUUCUUCUGAGCAUUCUAUAACAAACUAAAAGGCAAAAUAGUGCCGACAGAUUAUACUUCCUUAACGACAAUGAAGUUCUGUGCAUGUUUCCGCUGCAUUUCCAAGAACUGACAUUACAUACCAAAUUCAGUAGAUAGCCAGAAAAUCAUUCACUACACCUAGUUCUAGACGGAAUAUCUGCACAAUAGGAGAUUAAAACUUUUUGGCCCAUCCAGCAAUUAGCAGAAAAGAGACGUUUACAUCUUAAAUUAGGUCAUAAGCUUUGUAUAUCACACCUCCCGUGCUAUUCUCCAUUUAAAACGACGAAAAUUAAAUAUUGAAGUGAUCCACAAGCAAUCAAUGCUGUUAACUGACAACAAUCCUCAAUGAAUCUUUAACUGUUGUUAGCUGAUUCAUAGGCAAAUGAUGGCAUCAAUCCUACCCAGUGGCAUAAAAAUUAAUUAUCAUCCUUCUUAUUGCUAUUUAAAGUAUCAUGAAGUCAAAAAAUAAACAAUGAAUCAGCAAAAUGAAAUGUAACUCACAACUCUCUUGCCCCAGGUGUGAUUCUCUGAUGACUGGUCUCCACCCGAAGGUUGUUUUGCAAGAUUGUUGCCAAUAGAUUCAGAGGAUGGGCUGGCCAAAUCAAAAGACUUUGCUUUACCUGUUGUUCCUGUUGUUGCCUCUGUACACGGCUGACUUGCAGUUAAAGAUGGCAUCCUGCAGGCAUUUCUUCUUUUAAAAUCUCUUCACCACCACAAACUGGUGUCUCCUGUGUUUUUUCCUCCGGCAGAGAGUAAACUCUAGAGCUUCCUCACUGCAAGGAGUUGGUAGCUCAACCUGAUUCUCCCCUAGUUAAGAGAAGAAGCGGCUUUCUCUUCAGAGUUGCUCUCCCUAAAGCCAGAGUUUCCAAGUGGAACUCUCACCUCUGUGCUAUCAACAUUAUUGUACACAUGACCUUCAGGCUUCUCAUAAUCUAAUUUAUGCAAAAUGUCCUGAAAGAAAAUGAAAAAGCACUCACUCAAACUAAAACCAAAUACAAACAUAGAACAAAAACAAGCACCUUUCUUAGUCUAAUAUCACAGUUUCAUAAGAAAGUACCUUUUUGUGUUCAUUUUGGAUAAGCUACGCAAGUAAUUAUCUAGUUUCUUUCCUAUUAGCAUAAAAGAGAGAAAGGCUAAAAGAUCCAAGUUAAUAGGGCCCACUUUCUUUUCUAUUAGCAUAAAAGAGACUAGUAGUGAUAGGCAUUAUUCUCAAGACAUUCUGGUGUGAACAGGGUAGGAGUUGCACAUAAUUCUUAGUUUAAAUGCAACAAGUAAGAAAGUUUAGCUCCUAAAGAUGGAAAACCGUAACCAGCUUCUAGAUGUCAGAAGAGUCCCGCAUUCAUAUUUAUUGCCUUUUUAAAGCCAAACUAAUAAAGCUCAUCUGCAAAAGCUAGAAAUCAAAGCUUAUGCACCAAGAGAAAAAACCUGAAAUAAAGGUAGCCUGUUGCCAAAAACAGAGGGGAAAAAGAACGAGAAUGUUGCUCAUUCCCAGCAGUGAUGGAAAAUGGUUACUAAAUGCCAGGGCAUUAUAGAGGACUUAAAAUAAAAAUAGCUAACAGAAAUGAAGAUGAGAAAAAAUUUACACAGUGAAUCAUAUGCUUCAUAAAACGAUUAGUUUCAUACAAAUUGUACUCUUUUUUUUAUCCCUAAUUACUACUGUAAAAAUAGCAACCUAACUUACCUGGAAAGAAAAUAAGAUACAAAACUUAAAUUUCAUAUUAUGUUACACAGUUACAGCACGCAUGGCCACAAGAAAGCAAAAGUGACAUAAACUAACUUGCACCAAAAUUCUCCUUCCUUGUUAAUUGCCCAUGUAAAAUAACUGUCCCACAUGUAGAAAGAAAAAUUGCAAUUCAUAAUCCGAAGCCUCCUUCAAAUCAUCUUUUCAAAUCCACAGUUACAGCACGCAUGGCCACAAGAAGAAGCAAAAAGUGACAUAAACUAACUUGCACCAAAAUUCUCCUUCCUUGUUAAUUGCCCAUGUAAAAUAACUGUCCCACAUGUAGAAAGAAAAAUUGCAAUUCAUAAUCCAAAUCAUCUUUUCACCUACAGGAAGCUUCCUUACUGAGUAUGACAUGCACAAAAUAGAUAUCAAGGAUAAAACCUUCUUAGCUUUUUAAUCAUUGAAUCAGACAAGAUCGAUUGGGACUACUGCAGGUGACUGAGUAUCAAAGAAACACGCCAUAAACCACAAGUACAGUGAACUUCAAGAGUAAUACGCAGAAAGGACAGCAGUGCAAAUAGCAUGUCACCUUUAACCACACAGAAACCAUAUUCUGAAUCAUGCAAGAGAAGAUUUCGAACCUGAGAAGAAGUGAACCAUUUUCCAUCUUUCCAUUCCAUGUGAGGCCUCAAAUCAGUGUGGUUGAAUUCCCCGUCCCUCUUUGUGUGCUUAAAAAAGACGUUGUACCUACAAUCAGCAAGUGCUUUGGUAAUUACACCAGGCCACCAGCCAGAAUGGUAGUAGGCGUCCACCUUCUCCAACAAAACAAAAUUUUUGUCCUUAAGAUGUGGAGGACAAGGUCGGAUGUGGAGGAAGUUAACCGUUGCUCUCAGAGGAGCUGCAUCUUCACAGUGGUACUCCACCAAAAAAGAGUCAUUUCCAAUGUCUUCGAGGAUGGUAGCUGGGAACCAAGUAUCCCGCCAAUCUUCCCGGUCAAAGGACACUUCAACCCUUUUUCCCACACUAAACAUCAGUCCUGCUGCUCUCUUUCGGGAAUUCAAGAAGAAGCGAGGAAAAUAAGAAUCGGGGAAACAUGGGGCAGAAUUUAAAAAAAAAAAUUGAAAGAAAAACACUACGAGACAGAAGCAAGACUGCAGACUAAUCUUCAAUUUGCCAGACUAGGAGCUUAGGUAUACUAGGGGUGAGGUAUAAGCUGCAGGUAAUUUCACAAAAAGAAAUACUACGGAUUAACUACAGGUUGAAUCAAGAUAGGAAAGGCUAUCUCAAUCAGUAACCGAAAAUAGUUGUAUUAAUUGCGUGUUCAUGCUGCUUCGCUUCCAUGAGAAUCUGGAAGCGAAUAAGAUUCUACGAUUCUUACACCAACACCACCUCCAAGGACUCCAGGAAGAAUUUGUUUAUUUAACAACAGAAACAAGGUAAAAAAAAACCUUUAUUAGACACAUAAUUGAACAGAGUAGUUGGCUAAGGCGGAUGCAGAAACUCCAAAAGCUUUUGUCAAUUUGAAGGGGAAGAGACAGAGAGGGGGGGCAGACGAGGGAAAGGGGGCUACUAAAACCCUAGAAAGUAGACGAAAUGAGGAGAGAAGAUUUGUAGAAAAAAAAUUCAAAGAAAGAUAUACCUGCUUGGCGGGUCGGACCCAGGUGCAAUUGACCCAUCGGCGGUGAAAUCUCAAUUGGGAAGGAGCAAAGUGAAGUUCGUCGGGUGGAUUGUGAAAGGUGACGACGAACCUCAGAAGAGGGGAGGACUGGGCCUGCUUGUGGUGGUAGUGGCGGUCGGCGUCUUGGUGGUGAAGAAGAAGAGCGGUGACGACACCAGUCCACCAGCCGUCCCUGUAGUAAGCAUCGACGACGUCGCCUAGGUCGAAAUAGGGUUCAGAAGAAGGAGGGUCAGGAGGAGGCAAAGGACGGAGGAAUUCGGCAUUGACGGACUCGCGGAGAGGGACGUUGGAGCCCUCCUCGGCGACGAGGGUGUGGUACUGUACGUAGGCCUUACUAUUGGGGUGGAAUUUGGAUUUGCGCUUCUUGGCAGAGGAAGUAGAGGAGGAAGAAGAAGAAGCAGAUCUAGUAGGGGAAGAGGAAGAAGAAGGCGGUCGGAGGAGAGUGGCGAGAUACCAGGCACCCUGGAAGCCCUCUUCGUCGCUGGUGACUUCGACCAGGGAACCCACUGAGAAGGGGGACGACUGCUGCUGCUUAGCAAUACCAAUAGCACCGCUCUUCAUUUUUUGCGAUGCGGACUCUACUCGGGCUUAUGUGCCCCCAUUCCAAAGCCCGCCACCCAAUCCCGCACACCCGCUCCCCAACACCCACACACCCAAACCCCCCCCCCCCACCACCCCAAAAAACAAGAAAAUCCGCUUUAGGGUUUCCUUUUCCAAUUUUUCCUUUCCUUUUCUUCUUUUUUUUUUCCUUUUACCUUAUUUAUUUAUUCUGAAUCAGAAAAUUACUACAUUGCUGCCACUCCUCCCCAUUCUCUUUUUCCUCUUUUUUUUUUUUUCCCUCUUUGGCACUUCUCUUUUUCCUCUUUUUGUUUUUCCUUUUCUUUCCCCUUAUGGCCUAUUUACUUCCUUCUUCCUACUUUUUACCAAUUUUUUGGUUUAUCAGUCAAUCUUACUUUUACUGAAUUGGUCAAUCAAUUUUUAGGAAUUUUUAUAGAAAAAUGUACUAUAAUGAUUUAAUGUAGGUAAGAUAAUAAGAUGAUUGAAAAAUGUAUUCACCAAAAAUGUAAAAGAUCUUCUGCGAAAAAUCGCAAUCCAAACAAGGUGAUUUUUCUAUCAGUUGCUUUGUUUACAGCAACAAGUAUUGAUUAGUGCACAUUUUAUUAAUAAAAAUAUAUGUAUUUAUUAUCAUAACUUUUACAAAUAAUUUGGUUUUGCGAUUUUUUCUUCAACGGUACACUGUCAAAAGUGAUUUGUUAGGGAAUCCGAUGAGAAUUGAAACAUACCGCGUGAUUAGUUAAUUACCUACAGUUAUGGAUAGAUUCCAACAUAAUUUGAAUUUUUUAAAACUGAAAAAAAGGGAUACAUUUUUUGAAUAAGAUUGGACUAUUUUGUUGUCCAUUGUAAGGGUAAAAACGGUAGAUUAAAAGUCGCCAUAAACUUUCCCAGGCCUUCGUAUGUAUUAUUGCAUGGUUCUUUUCUUUUCCUUGUUUGUUUAACAUCUUUCUUCAGAAUUUGGUCUUAAAUCAUUAAAAGAUGUUUUUGGAAAAGACAAGGAAAAAAAACAAAAGACACUCCAAAGAUCAUCAAACCAAACAUUUAUGAGCCUCUUUCUGGAAACGUAUUCUCAAUUCAAAAUAAAUUUUGAAGAAGCAUGUGACAAAUAAUUGCAAGACCUAACAUAAAUUUUGUUAUGACAAAUUUAAAUCUGUUACCGUUGACCAGUCCCUUUAUAUACGCUCGAAGGCAAAUUUUGUAUUUUAGUCGCAUUGGCACUUAUUUAUCUCGUGCAUAUAUAAUACCUAAAUGAAUUAAUAUUAGGUUCUUAUUUGGUUGAUGCCAAGACAUUACUGUACUAAACUAAAGAAAAUCGAACUAGGUUGAUGCGUAUUGCUUGAUAUUUGAUUUUGAAAAAACAAUGGGAGUGUUUGGAUAGCACAAAUAUCUCAAAUAAUAUUUCGCUUGCAUCAUAAACACAUUUUUCAAUUCACCUUUUUAUAUUUUCAAUUACUUUUUUAUGUCACAUACAUCCCAUCACAAAAAAAAGUGCUACAGUAAUUAUUUCAAAUAAUAUUUCAAAUAAUACUCUAUCCAAAGCACAGAAAAAAAAUACUCUAGUGGCACUCAAUCUCUUUUUUUAUUUUCAUAAAAGCACAGAAAAAAAUAAAGUGCUAUAAUUCCUUAGUUAUAGCACAACUAAGGAAUUUUUACCCCAAUAAAAAAAUUAAUUCAUAAACAUAGAACAAAAUAAGAAAAGUAAAUAGGACCAUUGUCUAGAUAUGAAACUUUAAGGAAGAUUGAAGUAAUAAACACGAAAUACAAAAGAGGGUAUUGAUAAUGACUAUAUGUUUUUUCUUUUUUGAAUUGUUUUUUUAUACUAUAUAAGAAUGAGUUGUGGUUAAAGAGGGGAUUUGAAUUUCAACCGCAUAGAUAGGGGUAUUUUUGCAAUGUGAAAUGAUGUGGAGUUUAUUUUUAGUUUUGAGUACAAGUGAUGGUAGCAUGUGUUUUGGUAUGUUUAUGGAAAUCUACUCAUGUUGUACAUUUAAAACAUUUAUUUUUGGAAUGUGAAAAUAUUUUUAUAAUCGUUUUUGCAUCGGGUACAAGUCAUACAAGCUUAUGUAUUCGUAUAAUUAUUUAAAUAGUGUUACAUUACUUGAAGUGUGGUAUUUAUUGUGCAAUUGAAAUGAAAACAUAUUGUUGUAAUCUUACCGCUUGAGAAUAUUCAAGUGCCUGCAAACAUAUUCAUUUGUAUUUGCCAUUUACAUCUCAAUUAAACUAAAGAAAAUGUAGGUAUGUUAAUGAUGUAAUGCCUCAGCAUCAGUCAUGGUUGUUCGAAUGCCUUCUCCUUCAAAUUCUUCGAUUUUUUUUUCCUUUCGACUUUUGGGAUUGGGCUAUUUUUGCUGCCUUUAUACUCUGCAUUCCAAAAUGAUUUUCAAGCGUAGCUAUUCUUGGUGGUUCAGUUUGAUGUGAGUUUUGUUCCUUAAUUUUAUUGUUUUAUGUGGAUGAUUUUGGUGGUGUGUAGUGUCAGGUAAUUGUUUCGAUCACAAAAUUUGAAAAUUUGAUUGCGUAAUUUAACUAUAAUUUUAUGAUUUUUUCACAAAUUUGGUUGAUCUGUAUAAUUUGAAUGGUAUGGUUAUGAUGUAAUAGGUUUGAAACAAUCAUAAGAAAAAAAAGUCCAGGGGGUAUCUAGAAUAACAUAAGUCAAAAAACACCUUAAUUUUAGUUCAGUUAUGGUGUGUUUUCUAUUGCAUGUAGUAAAUAAUUCAUAUGUGGAAUUCAUUUUGAUAGUAAUUUGAUAGUGAAGCGUUGUGAAUUGGUAGGAAACAUAACAUACUUAUGAUUUGAGUUUGAAUUGUUUAACCACUGAUGAAUUAAUAGAAUCAAUACGUUCUAAAUCGUUCAUAUUGAUGGUGUUUCACAAAUACCUUUUAAUUAAGUAUAGAUAAUAUAAAUGGUUCGCUUUCUUUAAGCAAUGAUGAAUUUGUAAAAACUCCUCAAAGCAAACAAUUUCAAUGAGUGCUUGCUUAUGCAGAUAAACAAAACUAAAAUUGUUACAAAAAACUAAAAAAUGAAAAAAAAAUCAAAAAGAUGCGAAACAAAACCUCGCACCAUACAAGAAUGAAUGUGGCUUUGAAUUUUAACCCCAAAAACAAACAUAUAACUAAUGAAAUUUGUAAUCCAUGAAAUGUAAAUUGAAUAAUAAUCUAAAGAAAUGGACACUUAAAUGACUUUUUUAUAGAUGCUAUAAUUUUUAUUGAUCAAUGGGUUGAUUAACAUUUUAACCCCAAUAAUAGAUAUAUAAUUAAUGAAAUCACCUGUAAUAUGUGAAAUGCAAAUUGAAUAAUAAUAUAAAUAAAGGGAGACUUAAAUGGCCAUUGUAGACAAUCUAUUAUUGAAACAUAUGCUAUGAAAUUAUCGUUUAAUAUGAUAUCCUACUCUUAUAUUCAUUCACUUACUUUCCUACCAACUUAAAUACUUUCAAGGUUCCACAAAAUAACAACAUAAUCACCAACAAAAAGUUAUCUUAAAAUUAUCUUUAAUCACGGGCACCAAAUAUAUCCAUUAUUUGCGCAGGCACUACUACCCUAGUACUUCCUUUAUUUAUGAGAUCUAUUAUUUCACAUGAUUGACAAGAAUUUUUGACAAGAAUUUUUGACAAGAAUUUUUCAUCAUUUGUAAUAAAAAAUAACAACUCUUAGGGAGAGAGGGAAAAAGAGGUGGGAGAGAGGGAAGGGAAGGGGUUAGGGGAGAGAGGAAGGGAUGAGGAGGCAAAAAAGAGAGAGGGAAAAAAGGGAGUACGAGAGAAUAGGGGGAAAAGAGAAUGAGAGGAAAGAGAGGAUAAGAGAAGAAAAAAAGGAGUGUGAGGUGACAGUGGCUGUUAGCGUCAAGCAAUGGGGUGGGAGGAAUGGAGGAACAAGAAGAAAAGAAAAAAAAAAGGAAAGAAAAUGAAAAGGAAAAGAAAAACGAAAAUUUUUCUCAAAAUCUUACGCACAAGUUUUUCUACAAUUUCUACAACAUUAAGUUACAUUACACAUUUGAAUUGUAAGAUUUUUGGAUGCUUGUAUAAAUUUUAUUUUUCUAUAACUUGAUGUUAUAGAAGUUGUAAAAAAUUUUUUUGUGAAGAAAUUGAUCUUUUUUGAAAAAAUUUCCUUUCCCAUUUUCUUUCAUAUAUUCUCCUUCCACCUUGCUAUCACUUGCUGUAGCUAUCACUACUUAUCAAUGUUGUCAACUAAUUGGAUUGAUCGGAUAUUUCUAAUAAAUAUAUUGAUGUCAGUAUGAUGUUAUAAUUAUUUUAUAUUUUUAUAAGUUUUAGAAAUAUUGAAAUUAAGUUUUUGAUUAUAUUUCAGUUAACUAUACAAAAUAUUCGAAAAAUACUAGGCUAUUUUUUUUUUUUGGUCCUUCUUUCUUACUUUCGUUCUCCUCUCCCUAUCCAUUCCUCAUUUUUUCUCUCCACCAAUGCUAGCGUUGAUAGUGAAUGGUGAUAGGUUGAGAUAGGAGAAGGAAGAAAAAGAAAGGAAAAAAGGAAAAAAAAUUUCGUUUGUUUUUGGAUAUUUUGAUGUAGGUAUUUUAAAAAUUUUAAGAAAAUUUUUGAGUUUUCAAUAUCUAGUCAUUAAAAAACUUGUCAAAAAACUAACAAUCCAAAUAGGCCAAAAGUUUUAUAUAAACAUCCAUAAAACUCAUCAUUAAAAUGGGGCUUAAGAUGUAGCAUUUAAAGUUUUAUAUAAAUACUAAAAAACUCACCGUUAAAAUAGGGCAUAGAUAGAGGAAAAGAUGUAAUAUUUUUUUUUAAUAUAAUGCAUAUGAAAUAAAAAGAUAAUUAAAAAAUUAGUUAACGGUGCAAACAAAUAAAUUUUUGCUAGUAAGCCAUUGACCAGACAAACCCUACCGGAUUGCUAUAAAAAUCUCGUCCAAUCCAAACCAUUAAUAAUUCCUGGCAGCAACGUUUGUAAAUUGUAGAGAAUUUGUGGUAGAACAGAAGCUCGGCUGACGAAGGAAUGAAUAUGGCAGCGGCGGCGGCGCGGCAGCAAGCAGCCGCACCACCACCAAUUUACUUGUACCACCAUUCCAAGUUCCAUCCCAUCGAAGAUUACCCAAUAUUAGCUACCACUUUUCCUUUUCUUCUUCAAAUUCAACUUCAACUUCAACGCCGCCGCCCCUGCCCUUCUCAAUUACUGCUACUGAUAACACCAAGAAGAAGAAGAAGAAGACUACGAGGAGGAUGAAGAUGAGCUCGUCAGCAAGUGGGUCCCAGGGACUCUACUCCGCCGCCGACCAAUUUGAGCUUACCCCGGAAAAUGUCGAUUUGGUUCUCCAAGACGUGCGUCCUUACUUGAUCGCCGACGGGGGAAACGUCGACGUUGUAUCCGUUCAAAACGGCAUCGUCUCUCUCAAGCUUCAAGGUCUGCCUUCCUUCCCUUUCCAUACUUCGUAGCAGUAGUACUGCUAAAUUCUGAAUUCUUUUAGCAACAUACUAGUAAUAUUUACUUAGCACAGCGCAGCCGCUACCAAAUUCUAAUUGCUCCUCGUCAACGUUGUUAGCCUUCAAAUACAGCCCCCUUCCUUCCCUCCCCAUUUGUUUGUUUCAUAGUAAUACUUUAUCAUUAUAGUUUGAUCACUUCAACUUUAAUCUCAAAUUUCUCUGGUUUUGAAUGUUUGGCCUUUUUACUCGCGAAACUUUCGUGCGUUCUUUAAGAACGAAAAGGGGUCACCUUUGCGCCUUGGUCUGAACUCUCAACAACACAACAAUGGAUGCUUAUGGAUUAUGAUGAUGCUCUCUCUAUCAUUCACACCUCCCUCGCUCCCUCCCCGAGGAAGAAAUUAUUAUACUUUUUCAAGUUUGAGCCGCAACUUGCAAUAGCCAAAGACCAAUUACUUACUAGUUAGCUGUCUUGACUUUUAAAGAUAUCAUCAUUGCAUCAAAACACUUCCCUACCAAUCCAGACUCCAUCCUGGAAGCAGCCCUUAAAGAAUAAAGUGAUUUUCUGCCUGAUGGUCAAAUGCCUCUGUUUUGACGCGGGCUAUACAACAAGGCAUCAAACUGCAAUAAACUGACUACUGAGGUGUCACUUAGUGCUUCCGAAAUCACCUCCUCCUUUACAGUUACAACCAGGCAUCCCACACCAAAAAGCUGCCCUGUUCUAACCCUAUUCCGUUUGGUGUGCCAUUGAGAACAGCUUCAACCUCCUCAUCUUUUAGAGAAUCAGCUCUGAUUCCAAUAAUCUGCUAGAGAUUCAGAAUGGUAGCUGGCAUGCUUUGACUUGAAGUUUCCAAGGCAGUGAGCCUUUUGGGGUUGCUCCGUCCCUCCAAUGGCCACCAUAAUGUACAUUGAGAUUCCCCAGUAGGGAGCGAAGGAGAGGCCUGGGCCGUAGACUCCAUAUGGGGAAGGAACAUUUUAGUUUGCAUUCUCAAGGCAUGUUGAGCCACGACAUAUUGCUAUUCAAGAAUUUCUGUGGGUAUAUGUUUAUAUGAUUGUAUUGGUGUGACUAAAGAGCCUACUUUUCCUCCAUGUUUUCGUAGACAAUCUUAUGCUAUGCAUCCUAAUGUGGUUAAGCUGCUCGAGGACCUUUUCACCCCAUCUACUGAUAAACCAGAUGGAAUUUAAAAGAAAAAAAAACAGUUUUUUUAAUAGUUUGAUGCGUACGUAACAAAGCCAACAUUUUACUCUAGUUGCUCUGAUCCUUGGAUCUCUGAACCUUCAGAAAUGAAGUACCAACCCAGAUGGUUUACAAAAUUAUGUUUUCUUUGCAUCUGAUACAGAUUUCACUUGUACUAUGGAUAAACAGGGGCAUGUGGAAGUUGUCCUAGUUCAACUACAACGAUGAAGUUGGGGAUUGAAAGAGUACUCAAGGAAAAAUUUGGUGAUGCUAUCAAGGAAAUUUGCCAGGUGUAUGAUGAGCAAAUAGACGAGACCACUGUUGAGGUGAGUUCAUUUUCAACCCCCUGGUGGUGUUGUUUGUUUAUUUCUUUUUUUUUUUUCUUCUUCUUUAAAAAAAAAAAACAAAAAAGGGUAGCUGCUCAAUUGCCCAUGGAUCUGCUUAUGCAUGAAUUGUGCAGCUAUUAAUGGUCCAAGAAUCUCCACAUUUGCAGGCAGUGGACGGUCAUCUGGACAUACUGAGACCAGCCAUUAAGAAUUAUGGUGGUAGCAUACAAGUAUUAUCUGUUGAGGGAGGGGAUUGCGUCGUAAAAUAUGCGGGGCCUGAGUCUAUUGGAUUGGGAAUCAAAGCAGCAAUAAGGGAGAAGUUCCCUGAUAUUGCGAAUGUUGUUCUCACGGACUAGCUGCUUGCUUAGAAAGCUUUGGACGCUCUGGCUUGCUGAUGAUUUUGAUACGGUGGCUCAAGGUUAAACAACAGCACAAUCUCUGGUGGGCACACUGAGCAGGUGGCAGAGUGUAGAUGUGCAAGAUUAUUAUUAGCAGCUUAAUUUACAUGCUCUGGUCAGAAUGUUUUGGGCGCUACUGAAGGGGUUCUUGCCAAGAGAGAGCGCAAAUUGCAAAGCCCUCUGAUAGGUUUGUAAUUUAUCUGGACUACAUACAUACAUGGCGUACAAUAUGAACGAAUUCCGUGCCACUCUACAACACAGUACUAUGUUGAUUCAAGCAGAUGAAGUCAACAGCAACAGCAGAUAUGUUGGUAGUGCUUUGCUUAUUGUGUCCAUCUAAAAUACACUACUACAUUACAUGGGAGGGGAGUGUGAUGAUUAUAUGUUAUUCAGUUCAUUCAAAUUCCCGUCUUCCCGUGAUGAGUGUGGUUGAUUCCAUCUUCAUCCCAUGAUCCCAAUUCAUUUCGGGUGCUUGAGGAAGAUCCAGUUGUCUAUCAGCUGAUGAAGGAACGAAUAUGAGGGGUUGCCUAGGCAGAUUCUGAUUCGCUUUCAUCCACAGAAGCCGCAAGCCUUGAUUUUAGAUAGCGUGAUAAAUUAAUCAAAAACGGAGUGUAGACGAAGUAGCAAGUGAUGGUCCAAGAGACGAGCCCCUGCACGAAUGGAAAGAACAGAGGGCUUGUGAGUUGUGUGUAUCAUAAAAAGAUUCGACACCAAAGAUGCAUCCAAAAAAAAAAAAAAAGAAAAAAAAAUCCGGUGAUCACCUGACCAAAGAUCUCAACGUUUGCUCGGGGAUAGUACCAUAGGUUGAACAACCUGCGCCACACAAACAUUACAUGGUAGUUUAUCAAUCGACGUUGGUUUGAUUUAGUUCGUAGUAUAAAAUACAAAGCUUUUUUCCUUCAAGAAAAUAAUUGGAAGAGAAAGAAAGAAAGAUUGUGUGUGUUACUUCAUCAUGGGAAUCUCUGCGAGCGGGCAAGCGAUGCCUACAACAGAAGCCAGUAAAAAUCCGGCUACCGUGUUAUCGAUCAGCAACCAUAUCAGUUCCGCGGCCGCAAACAGUACGUAAGCUUCGAUGUUAUCCGGCACCCCAGCUUGGUACAUUUCCGCACUUAGUUGGAUAAACAACACCAAUGCCCUGAGUCGGAAGAAAGAUAAAAAAGACUAAUUAGCAGUUGGUAGUAGUAGAUGCAUGCAUAUAAAUGAACUACUCUACCGGACGCUUGGUCUAUAUAUAGCUGCCACAAACUCACGCGAGGGAGGCCGCAGUUUUCUCCCGGAGGCGACCUAUUCUUGGAGCCGUCUUCUCGUCAAGCUGGAGUUGAAGCAGGCCAACGGAAGCAUAGAACAAUCCAAGCAAUGGCGGGACCUAUAUACACAUAUGUAGUAAAAGGUGGUUGUUAUCAGCAUCAGCCAAGAAGUUUAUUGAUUCAGAGAUCGACAACAUUCAAUCACAUCAGGGGCAGCUAGCUAGCUGUUGUUGACACACAAAUUUCACUCACCCAAACAUUGGUGUGAAGCGGGCCAAUGUCAAUGGCUCCCGUCUGGUACACCACAAGGUCGACCGCGAAUGUAGUCCAUCAAUCAGAGGACCCAACGUGAAACCGCAUCCAAAUAAUAUUAUUGAGACCAUCAUCGUCGGCAAUUUCCCCCUAGGAGGAGGAGGAGGAGGAGGAGGAGGAGUAUUAUUGUUGCUGUUAGUACUAGUAUUUGCUAUUCCGGGGGACAACUUCCGCCUCCUCCUCCUCCAACUGCUGCAUAUUUUUGUUGCUAUCCUGGUGGUAUUAUAAUGAAUAUGAUCAGGGAACUUCUUCUUCUUGUUGACAAGGAUAAGAGAUACGGAAGAACCAACGGCAACGGCAACGGCAACGGCAACGCCAGCGCUACUCCCACUCUUUCUCCUCCUCCUACUACUACUACUGGAUUAUUCAGGUUUCCAAACAUCUCCUAAACAGGACAGGAGGAGGAUUUCUCACUACUAGACUGCUGCUGCCGUCUCACUUUAAUUUAAAGAAAGAUGCGCCCGCUUCAUCUUCAUCAUCUCGACUUAGGAGAGAUAAGACGGUUCCUAUUCAUUCAUUCCUCUUCAAAAGUCACAAACGGCAAAUCCUGUCCACUGCCUGCCUGGUUUCCUUCUCCUACAAUUUACAGUGAUUGCCGUGACGUGGAAUUUUCUCUCUUCAUUCAAAAGACGAUUUAUUUGCACCGUGGCUCUCGUCAAAGUUUUUUCUUCCAAAAAAACCACAAAUCUGAUAUUCCCCAUACCAGCGGUUGGUUUAAACUGCUUGAACGUUCCUUUGGUUCACGGGUUAAUUCUAUAUUUUCACAACUAUAUAACCCUCUCUCACCAUAAUAUAGCAAAGAGUAUGAUUGCUUUGGGGGGGGAAAAAAAAAAAAUUCAUCCACAUGGUAAUUUAGGUAUAUGCUACUAAUGAGCGAGCGUCUACUAGUUGGAAAAAUCAACCCUUGCUUAAACAAACGAUAAUGAAGUUUCAAGCAAAUAAAAGUUUUGCAUGGAAAUUUAUUACAAUUUGAUAAUAUUUAUUAAGUAGUAUAACCCCUAUUCAUUGAAUAGUAAUUAAGUUUUCUCAUGAAUACGAUUCCGUGGCUAUUCAUGUUCAUUUUUAGUUCAAGACAAAAAAAAUUCAACAAUACAUCUUUCAUUUUUAGUUCAAGAUAAAAAAAAAAAUACAACAAUACAUUUUUACAUAAAUGACUUGCUACUUUCUAUCAAAAUUAAAUUGGAUGAUUUCCAUUCGUUGGCCAAAUUAAUCCAAAUCACGAGGCGGUUCGUUGGGGAUUUUCAAACAAUGAGAAGGUUUUAUGAUAAUAACCCAAACCACAAGAAGGGAGUUUAGUGUAUUUUACCUUUGUUUUUAACAAAUUCACAAAGUGUACUAUUUUUGCUCGUGGUACCAGGGACCAGCUUAUAUCGAAAGGCAGAUCAAAUACAGAACCGAUUACAUCAAAGGCAAAGGCCCCUUCGACAAAAGAGAGACAUGCUCUGCAUCACUUACCAGCUAAACCUUUUAAGAUUCUUUUUGGCCAAUACUACAAAAUUAACAAUAUCAGACAGGAAGCGAUACGUAACAUGUACUCUUUUAAGAUGGAUUCAUCAGCAGACUUCUAAUUGAAUCUUUUUUGAUGCUCCUACUCGUUAACCAACAUCUACAGCUAAGCAUGAACGAUCGACUCUGUUGCGGCCAGGUAGAAGAUCCUCAAGAGGCUCAAAGCACCUAAUUAGCUGCUCAGACACAAACAUAGACCAUGACUCAGAAAUGAAAAUAGUGUACUGGAAGUUCAACAGAAGACAUUGUAGCAUAUAUCCAUCAAAUACCAAAUGCCAUUAUUUUGCCGAAUGGAGUGUGUGUACCAACCAUACAGAUAUGCAUAUUUUGCCAAAUGGAUCGCAUGUGCAUAUGCAACACUUGCAAAUUAAUUGCACUAGCAUACAAAUAAAUCAGCAGAAUGUUAACCUGCAAAAUUAUCCAUCUGAAGCUUUGAACUUCCGUGGCCUUUUUGACUGAGCAGGUGAUGGUGGACCUUCUAACAAUCUUCCCGGAGCCUUGAAAGCCAUAUCCAAAACACACAUUAUUGAUGAUAAAUCUUGAGAGAGUGAAGAGUAUACAAAGAACUCAAGAAAUUGUUAAGUAAUGGAUACCUUACGCUUCUGAUCCCUUUUCCCCAUUCUUUCACCUACAAUGGUAUGAAUGUCAAUUUCGAAAAGAAAAAAUAUCAGGUCUUGAAGUUCAAAUACAACACACCAAAAGGGAAAACAGAAAAAGAAGAAGAAGAAGAAGAAAGGAAAAUUAGGUAAUAGUCAAUGCUUGCUACCAAUUAUGAUUACCUCCAAAACUGAAUGAAUCUGGUACAAAGGUUCGUCCUGUUCAACAGCACGCUGUACACGCUGUCAACAAAGAAAUCAAAAGCUUACUUGCCAAAAAGAAAAUAUUAAAGAAAAAGAAAUCCUUGUCACAGGCUCAAUAGAACAUAAGUUCUUAUAAAUGGAAGUGGAUAGGAACAAACCAAUUACCUUAGGCGGUGUGCCGGGUGUUUCAGCAUAUAAACCAUCACGAUAAGAUGAGCCUUCUGCCUCUUUGUAUUGCAACUGACACUCAACCAAAUUAAGGCAUCAGAAUUUAGAUAACAAAUGCACCUGGGAAAGCUGGUUGGCAAGCCACACGAUUUAAAAGGGCAAGGAAUGGGGAUGGGACAAUGUUAGAUGCAGCCUAACCCGCCAAAAGAGAUGAUUUACUGAUUAUGUAGCUCAAAAGAUUUGGUAUUCCACUAAGAAACAAUUCAAACCAGAAUACGUGCAAAUAGGCAACUAGUGUAAGAUCAGUGCAACAGUUGUAUCCAGGUAGAACAAGAUUAACCAAUGAUUUAAUAACAAAAUACCUGCUUUUGAAGAUUCAAUAGAGUCAAAAUUUCUUUCCUCAGUUCAAGAUGCUCUGCACAAACAGCUUUAGUUGGGACUUUUGGUUUCAAAUUAACCUAUGGAACAAAGAGAUAGUGUUUGUUUAGUCCAUCUAGUGCAAAAAGGGAACCAAAAGAAAAAGCUUGUAAAAUUAAAUUUUCAAGUAUAGUUGCAAUAUACUCUUAAAAGGAUCUAAUUACAAAACUCAACCAAUUCUUUUUGCUUUAAGGAACUAGUUUAUUUCAAGCAAGAUGAAGUAACAUUCAGAGGCAGGCGAAUCACUUCCUAACUUGAAAAGGAUAUAGCUCAUUUUCUUCUUUAGAAAACAUAAUAAGCUUCUAUCGAGUUAACAGUCCAUAAAAACACCUGAUGAAAUCAAUAAGGUCAAAAAGCGUGACAGAAGUUAUUGCAUUUCCUGAAAACCUCUAUAAUGCUGAUUAAAAACCUCGUACAAAGCUCAGUAUGUGUGGAAAAGUGUGAAACCAAAAAAUCCCAGUCAGAGUGCAAAUCAACAUUCAGAGUCAGAGAGGCAGGAUCAAACCCCAAGAUCUUGUAAAGUUUGCUCAACGCGCUUAAUAGUCCUGAGUCCUGCUGACGAGCUAGCAGCUUGCACCAUCUGCUCUAAAGCAUGCGUUCUCAAAUACACCCGCAUCUGAAAAAUAUAGUUAGUAAGCUGAAAAAUCGGCUACACAUAGAGUUUUAAAUAUUUGUAGUCCCCCAUCAAAACCUCCUCUCUCUGUCAUGUUUUGGGGAGGGGUGUGUGGUGUAAAUUGUUAAGCAGUACACCCUGGUGCAAUUUCAAAACCUUCACUAUGUAUCAUGCAUGGUAAUUCUUCAAGAGGACAGCUUAGCAAUAACGAUUACUAAGACUAACUGAUUUCGAGUGCAAGUCUCAGGCUUCCUAAGUGGGCUCCUCUUUAACUAUUGGAGGUCUACCACAAGAAGCUCGUAAAUAGCAAAUAGUAGCAUCAAGCUACUCGAAUCAGUCUUUCAGCAGCCAAAGGCCAAAAUCAGCUGGUGCAAAGAAGUAGUUGAAGUAAUAAUGAGCAAAAAGACACACAAUAAAGGGAAACGAGUACACAGGAUUUCAUACCAUGCGAAGAGAUGCUAAAGUUGAAGCAAUUUCUGAAACAGGAGGUGCAAUAGCACCAGAUGUGAACUGAGCAUUUGGAGAUGGUGACAGAGAAUCUACAGCAGCAGCAGCCCCAUCAUUGUCAUCUGGAACAGUAUCAGUCAUAGCUGGCACCUCCAACUCAUCAGUACCCUGAGAAGGGAAACCAAAUCAUCUACAACAUACCAAAAGGAUGCAUGAUCAUGACUACAAACAGAUAUAUAUCCAAAUACCUUUGCGGCCUUCCGUGCCUCAGAGAUUCUCUUUGCUUCCGCAAGAACUAUAAGGACAGAACAUGAGCAAUAAAACAUAAACAGAUUUCAAAUAUUCAACCUCAUGUCUAUUAAAGGCUCCAUAAAAGUGCUUAUUAAGCAAGUCUUAUGGGCUAAGAGAUGCAACAGAAAAGUUUUAAACCUCUGCAUCUCUUCGUUCUUGCUGCUUUGUUUGAGAAAGCACCAUAGAUAGUGCACGUUUACGUUCAACAUCUUGUGAAAUAUUGUAAGCAUCCUGCAUGAGUGCAAGGAGUUACAAAGACUGGUGAUGCGAAAUCCAACCUCAGGAGUCCGAAGUGCAGAAACACAUGUAAAAACUUAAAGAGGAGCAUACAACAACCAUAUAUUAUAAGGUUCAGAUUCUUAAAUGAAUUAAAAAUAUCAUCAGUUCUAAAGGACCUUCACGAGAGGGUGUCCAGCAAUGUCACCAGGAGCAGGAGCUCUAGCAAUCAAGAUAGCUCGACAUACUAAGGAAAAAAGAGAGCCAAAGUCAUCAGAGGGGGAAAAUGCACAGCCACACAGUUCAGCAUCUUAUUGAAAUCAAGGAAACUUGAAUUCCCAAGAUGGGAACAAAAAUUACAGUACACAUUUUACAUACCACUAUAGUACCGACUCUUUAGCUCCUCAACAGUCCGUGAUGUAGGGAAUCUAUCAGCUAUCACGAUAAAGCGGAGAUCAAACCGCUCACACAAGUCAAACAACUCAUCAGUCUCUUCCUUGGUCCACAUCUAAAAGGGAAGAAAAAGGCCAAUGGGAAACCCCAACAACAUAAUAGUAAGAACAGAUACAAAAUGAACAAGGAGCUAGGAAGGAAUACCUCCAAUAACCUAAUAUUUGAAUAAAGCUAAAUAAUUCUCAAAGCCAACACACAAAAUGAAAAUUAUUUUCCUGAGAAGGUGCAUAACUCUCCAUAAACUAGAAAAGAUGCUAUCUCCAUGAGUUCUUUUAGGUAACCUCAUAUGACAUAGACUAUAACAAUGAAGCAGGGAGCAGAAAGAAUGAGCUGUGUAACUUUUCCAUCAUUGAUUAAUCCCCUACUGUAUAAACUCAAUCUAAUGGAAGAAGAAAUUAAGAGAAACGAAGUCCCCCAAAAUGAUUAAUCAGAAAGAAGAUUAAAAUAGCUAACUGCAGAGCCUCUUAAGGCUUUGCAACGUAAAAAGAUUCAAAAAGUCCAUCGCUAAUACUUGUAUUAUUUUACAGAUUCGAAAGGAAGAGUUUUGUUAAGUCCUGCUGCUCUCAUACACAUGAAAAUGAGUUCUUUUUUUUUUCAACAAUGUAGACGGCAACAGCUAUACCAUUAUAGAAAAUAUACACAUUCAUAGCUGGAUACCCACAGGAUCAGUGAGGUGCUUCUCGUACUCGUCAUCUGUGUACUUGAUCACAUCAACGGACUGCAUUGCAUCAGUAAUAAUCAGCAAAUCGUCCACAAUGACAAUCAACCACUACAAUUGGCCAACAACUCAAAUGAUGUGUUAUGAAAUCCUUUGUUCCCCCAAACCUUGUUGUACUUGGCAAAUGAAUAGUCACCACUUGGCGGCACUCCAUUUACUACUCUAACCUACAAAGGGAUAAGAGGCUGGAAAAAUUAAUUAAGCACACAGGUAGCAGUUCCAGAAGUGCUUUUGUAAGACAUACCCAAUGAUACAACUGCAAAUUAUCUUUUCGUGCAGAACUUGUGAAGGGGAGCCACUGCCAUGUAAUCUGAAUAGAAAGGGAAAAUUGUCAUGGAAUAAGUAUCAACAGGGAUGAAAUAUCCAACUGAAAGGUAAAGAAGGAAAGAGUUUUGGGGGGGGGAGGGGAGGGAAGGAAGGAGGAAGAAGGAACAACAGCUAGAAUACAAUCCAGAGUAGACACUUUAAACAGUGAAUAGCAAAACUCAAACGUCUUGUAAUUUGACUAAGUAAAAAUAAAAAAAAAAAGAAAUGAAAUUGAGCUAAGGAGGUACGCAUCUACUGAACCAACUCUAUAGCACAACAUAGAGAGUAUAAACAGACCAAUAAAAAUGGGGAAUUUGCAACCCAUUAGGCUCAGCUGUGGUUGACUACUCUGAAGAUUUAUAGAAGCAAAGAGGGAGCGGACAAACAAAAGUUAUACAAGUCCAGACUCCAGAGGAUGAGUAAUUUUUUGUAACCAUAAAAAAAAAGGGUGGGUUGAUUGGUGUUGUAUCUCGUAAAUGUUCACCCAAUCUCUGUGAAACCUUGCACUGUCAUGAUUGGUUUUGGUAAAUUAUAGGUACACUAGUAUUAACGGACCUUCUCGUUCUCUGAUUGAGCUCGACGUUUCAAGUGAUUGACAUCAACCGAAGGCAUGAGAGGUGCCAAGCCCCCUGUAAGGGCGUAAACCUAAAAACCAGUUCAAUUCCAACCAACAAAAUUUGUUAUUAGAGCUUCAGAAGAAAUUUAAAAACAAGAUACUAUUAAGUAUAUAAUCUUUCCUUUGGGGGCGGGAUGGUGGGAAUAAGAAAAACGGUACCUCUCUGGAGAUGCCAUCGGGUUUUCUUUGAGAUUCUUUUGGAGGCCUCGACUUCUUGUCGGCCGGUAAAGGCAGCAGCUGAUGUCCAUGCGGCGUCGGCGUCGUUGUCGGCUUCGGCAAUCCUAAUAGGAUGUCUUUAGCAUCCAUAUCCCUUUCCAGAAAAUGAAAACAAAUCCCAAAUGCGAUCUCAAUCAAUUAAUUAGGGUUUUCUCAGAGAAUAUACACUGGAGUGGUUUCCAACUGGCUGGCUUAGGGUUGGGUAGGUAGUAAUUAGGGAUUAGGCACCAACCAAAAUCCCUCUGCUUCGACGUUCAUAACAAAUAGUACUCCAUGUAUAAUUAAAAUCCUCAAAUCAAUAACUCACUACCCGAUUCGAUUGGAAGAAAGAAGAAGACGAGACGAGACGAGACGAGAAAGUGCUGAUGCACUCCAAUCUGAAUUUCGGCCCACUUAUGUGCACUGGCUGUGGUCGCGGCUGGGUCGCGUAUUGGGCUUUAUUGCAUCAGAGCCCAAUAGUAUAAUUCCACGGCCUCUACCCAAGACCCGUUGUCUAUGUAAUCACUGGCAUGACCAUUGCAUCGUUUCUUUUUCCUUUUAGGCAUCAAAAAGCUCUGUUGGGUUGGAACUUCUUACGAGCGGAUUGGCUUCGUUGAUGGGUCAAAAAGUGAUAAUCAGGAGAGAUGGAUUUUUGGUUUUAUACUACAAAACCACGACAUCAUUUGACAAAUGAAUUUUUUAGGUAUUUAUCAAAAAUUUUACUAAAACUUUUCUAAAAGUUGUAGAAAAAAUUUAUAGCAUAUGUAGAAAAAUUAUCCAACAUGAUAAUUUGACUACUUUAGGAAUUUUUCUCAAAAAAAAUACAAUAACACUUUUUAAAAAAAAAAACACAAUAAUGACUUGUAUCAAAAGUGAAAAAUUAACUAUUUUAGUUGUAUUUGUUUCAUUAUUAUGUAGGGUUGUAUUCAAAUAACUUUUGUUUGAUUAUUUUUAUGAGUUUUAAUAAUGAAAUUAUAAUAUAUAAUAAUUUAAUAAUAUGUUAAUAUUUUAAUACUUAUUUAUUUGCUAAAAUUUGACUAUAAUAAAAUUAUAUGAUAAAUUUUUAUUAGUUUCGCGGAAGAAGCGGGGCAAGGGACGGGGGGAAAUUAUUAGUCUUUUAGAAUGAAAAAAAAUUCCCCGUGAAAUUUGAGCAAUCUUUUAUUAUUUUGCGGAUAAUGUGUAUAGUUAGUUUUUAUGGUUGGUGGUUGUAAAGGCAGCGUUAUCAGUUAGUAGUAGGACUAGGAGUAUUAUUAUUUUUCCCAAAGUUGUUCGAAGGGGGGGGGGGGGUAAGACUUAAGAGUUGGCUUCAUGGGGUUGGGGGUACUACUGUCUGUAUACAAUAAUAAUUCUCGGUCAGUCGGAAGCUAACCACAUAUUAAUGUCCGGCCAACCCGACACAGGUACCAUCAUAGCAGAAGAGCACUACUGGUAGGAUUUGGGAGUGCAACAGAAAAAUGAAGCUCAAAUAUGGCGGCCACAAUACUAAUACAAGUAGUAGCAUCCACACGACGCACAGCUGGAAAGCCGCCGUCAGCAGAAGUACGAUUACUUUUACAACAAAUACCCGUGCUGCUGGCGGUGGUGCGCCGUCAGACUCAAAAGCAGGCUGCAGAAGCCCUUCUCUACUGAUUUUGUGUUACAGUGACAGGCCCAAAUUCAGCUCUUCUUCUACUAAUGCUUCUACUAAUCGGACACGCUAUAAUAGUCCGUCUAAGUUUAAUUGGAGCAUCCCGGAUGCUUACAAAGACAGUGGCGAUGGUCCCCAUCAUACUGAUCGGCUUACUGAUAGCGACGAGGAAUUGGAUGACGUUGAUAUUGAGAUUCAAAAAACUGGCUACAACCGUCGGAGGAUCCAAUCCAGGGUUUCCGUUGACGCCAGCCUCCAAUCCGUCUGGAACGUCUUGACCGACUAUGAGAAAUUGGCCGACUUUAUACCGGGUCUUGCAGUCAGCCAGCUGCUCCAGAAGACGGACAAUUUUGUCCGUCUCUUUCAGGUCUCCUCCUCCUCGUGCCUCCCAGCUUCUUCUUCUUCGUUCUUCUUCUUUUUUUCGGGUGCGUGCCUGUGUAUGCGUGUAAUUUUUUGAUAUAUUAUGUAAAGAAAGCUCUUUUUUGCCCAUUGUAAAAACGUUAAUUUGGAAACUCUAUUUACUUUUCGACCCUGUUUGUGUUAUCAUCCAUUACAAUCAGAGUCAUUCGUCUGCCCAAUAUAGCAAUAUAAAUGGGUGCUUGGUGACAUUGUCUCAGUCUUGCUGCAAUAUCAGCCUGUUCUUGAUCGUCAGUGUAUCUUGAGCAGAUUGGGCAGCAAAACCUGGCAUUUGGACUAAAAUUCAAAGCCAAAGGUGUCAUUGACUGUUACGAGAAAGAAAUUCAGAAUUUGCCCUUCGGUAAAAGGCGCGAUAUUGAGUUUGAGAUGAUUGAAGGUGACUUCCAACUCUUCCAAGGAAAGUGGUGCGUUGAGCAGGUGGAACUCUCUCUCUCUCCGGUCUUUUUUCUUUUUGUAUUCUCCAUCCCUUUCUCCCAAGUGCACAGCAUCUUAGUGACCUCCUUGUUCAAUAAGAACUGCCUUAUCAAUUGAUCUUUCCUUCAGCAAGUAGGAGCAAAUUGUUUGCGUUAACUGAUCAGAUUUUGUAUCCGGAAAUACUGUCCUUGUUUGAUACAUGCAUACAAGUGCUAACAUUGUCAAAGCUUUCGAAGUGCAGAUCAGUACAGGAGACUAUGAUAUAGCCGAUUCUAUUAAAGGCCAAGAAUUUCAUACUAAUCUUUCUUAUAUUGUGGAUGUGGAGCCUAAAGUUUGGUUGCCCGUGCACCUUGUUCAAGGCAGACUCUGUCGGGAGAUAAAAAUGAAUCUCUUGUGUAUAAAAGAAGCAGCAGAGAGAGCAAUUCAGAACAAAGUCUCUGGUUAUGAAUGACUUACCCAUUACUUUGACUUAUGAUUUCAAGCGUAAGUCUGUCCCUUCAUGUUGAUAAACUUCAUCGAAACAUUUUAGAUGAUACCAACUUGCAAUGGAUUUUCUCUUGCAAAAUGAUUUAGGUUUUGUUACCAAAUUAUGCACUGCAAGUCUGUGACAAGCUUCAAGGAGGCUAUACGUGAUAUUGGCCUCGUUGAACACCCGAAGAUGCCUUAUUUAACCUUUGACUUGUACUAUCAUUAAGUGUGUGGAAUUUUUUUCUAGUUAAUCAAACCAUGUUGUUCAUCUACUAAAAUCUGCCUCUUCUUCUCAAGAUUCUUUCUUUUUAACAAAUGUGCGCAAAAGGUACUAUAUGAUUUCUGCAAUGAUUUCAGCAAACUUCUACUGCUUCUUGCCCUUUCAGUUUCUCCUAAUCAUUGCUAUUCUUUUAAUUUGCGUGUAGGGCUGUAAAGUAGUUUUUGUAAUUCUUUUAAUUUGCAUCGGUCGUCUUAAGCUAUGCAAGAUUCGCUUAUCAAACAGUAGGCCUAAAUAAGGAAUUUAAGAUAAUAGACUUAUAUGAUCAGCUCCAGCCUUUUUAACAUCUGACUAUGACAAAAAAUAAUGAAAUUUUAGCCAAAUUCAAGAAUUUCUUGAAUCCUGAGGUGCUCAGUGCUUAGUCUGUUUCAGCUGAUUGCAUCCACAGUGCUAGUCUUUCUAUGUCAGUUUAACCUCUUUUGUGAGAUUUUGUAGCCUAUAUAACUUAGUGAAGUGACUUGUUACACAAAAUGAAAUUAAUGCUCAUGGAUGGAUAACCAGCUAAGUAUUAUGGAUUAUUAGAAAAAGAAGCAAUGUCACUUUGAACUUAUGUAGCUGCAUGCACAAGGUGUUGUGUCAGGCAAUCUGGAUGUUGACGGUAGACUCCACUCGUCAGCCCUACUUCUCCACAGCCCUUCGAAGAUCAAUCGUCAAACACCAAAUGGGGCUGUUGCUCACCUUUUCCAGAUGUUAUGUGGAACUCACUUGGAUGUGACUGAUCUUCUUGGGAUCACCAAAUGGGGCUGUUGCUUACCCUUUCCAGAUGUUAUAUGGGUAUCACUUGGAUUUGACUGAUUUUUUUUUUUUUUUUUUUUUUUUUAUGGCUGGCAUCCCAAAGGCUCAAAUUAUAGCGCAUAAGAAUCCUCGUGGUACUAUCUUGAGAGGGACCACCAGUUGGCAGAGAAAUCCUGAAAAUGUGUCAAAACGGCUGUCUGCUCGGAGAAGGGCAAGGCGGGAAGUGGGUGUACCAGUUUCUCUAAAUACAGUAGUGAUGGUUGUUCAGUUGGACAUGUGGCAGUUUUGUUGAUCAGCCACCAGCAAGAAUUUUUUGUUGCUUUGGUUUUGAGUCCACUGACGUAUGAGCUCCUUUAGAACGGUAACAGCCGACCAUCUAAAUUCUUAUUGAAUUGACUUUAUUAUCUUAUGAUGAUUCAUGAAAAGCAAUUGAUCUUCUUAUCAUAUAACCAUCAGAUAAUAUGGAUGGAAUAAUAGGACGUGAUGGGGAUUUGAGCUCCUAUCCUCUUCUGAAGGAGCUCUAGAUGUUAAGUAUAUUUUUUGCAUGAUUCGGAAAAGCUUCCAUAUGAAGCAGAAGAAAUAAGAGGUGCCAGGAGCUUCUUCACAAUGUCAUGUGGAUGGACAAAUUUUUGUUGUGAACUCCCUCCCAGUAGUGGAACCCAGAGAGUGGAAGAGGGCAUCCAAGUCCAAGCACAUUGUGUGCUUUUGUAGAGGUAGGACAAUGGAGGUCAUUCUCAGUUACACAAAAGCUUGAAUGAGGAGACGUUAAUCUGAAGAUCAAAGUGGGGGUCGUGCUGCUCUGAACUGCGGAUUUUUUGAGGAAUGUGAUUCCAGAAAAAGAUUAGAAUGAACAUUUCUAAACAUUUUAGUGUUUUAAAAACAAGAUUCAUGUUCAUAAACGCUUCUCUUCUUUGCUGUAAACCAUUAACGAUUUUGAUAAUUACUGUGUUUUUUUUUCUCUGUAUGUCAAAUUCUACGCACAAACAAACAGGAAAAAAAAAAAAAGAAACGCAAACGAUUCCAAACGGCCCAAGUUAUUUGGGUUCUUCUCAUAAAAAAUCAUACUAUUACACUUCAUGUUAAAAAACGAAUAGUCAUAGCAUUUCCAACUGUAAUUCAUAUUAUUUAUGAUGAAGUUAGAGGAAAAUAACUAUUUUAUUUGUGGCGUUAUUUUCAUCCAUGUAGCGAAUAUGCAUCUUUUUGCUUGCCACCACUACUAUUUAUCAAGGAAAGCCAGCUUCCGGUUGUGUUUUUAAGCGGCCAAUGGUCGGUCCGGUCCACCAUCAUUUGAUCCUCAGGUUAUUGCACAGGUGGCCGAGCUCCGGUCUUGCAUCCAUCCAGGCAGUAAAUCUCGUCUCAGUCGCAGUCGCAGAAGUGCAGUGGAGGUAAGAUCUAAAUGUGAUCAAGAAGAAGUAUCGCCUGAAAAUGGAUGCCCAAAAAAAAAAAAAGAAAUUGUUAUGAAGGAUUACUUUACACUAAUUUAGGUUUUUCCAGAUAGCCGAAACAUGGCACCUAAACCUAAACACGCAGAGGUUUCCUAGAUAAAAAACCUCGUAGUCAAUGCUUACAAAACUCACUAGCGAAAACGUCAACUAACCUUAGAGCUUUAGUACCCAUGUCAGUCAGGUAUGCCCGAUUCUCAUCAUCAUCAUCAGGAAGUUUCUCAAGUUCCUUCGCAUAGUAAAGAUAUCAUCACGCAAAUGUCCUGCCCCGCACACCUUUAAUAGCAUGGAAAAUUCAAGAACCAAGUUCGUCAAAAUCAGGGAUAGGGACUUGCAUCAUCAUCAACGUCAAACCCCAGCAGUAGUUAAUUCACUAUGAAUGAGAAUUCUACUACAAUAAAGUUUUUCACUUCAUUUCAAAUUCAUCAUGUUCCACCCAAAGCCUACUCUACCCUGGAUCUUACGCCAUUUAUUAGUUCUCCCUUUUCUCAUUAGUUGAUCAAAACUGAUUCCCUUUUGAACACGGAGCAGAACACAGCUACAGCACGACUUGGAUGCCAUAGCAAUGAAGUAGUUUCCCUGUCAAGAUGAUGCCAAAGCUCAAAGGCUCUUGCUGGUCAUUUAGCCGUAACUCAACUCACUUCUGCAUUUUCAUUGGUUACAUCAUCUAACUAGAUAGGUGGAACCUGACGCAACUUAUUAUGUCUAGUCCAGGCCUAAAUGAUGGUGGUACAAUGCUUGAAUCGAAGGACACGAAGCCAAAUAUUGUUAUAAAUUUGCAAGAAAUAAUUUAAUGAAGCAGGAAAAGGACAUGAGAACUAUGAUCUCAUCAAGAUCUUAAAGAUGAAUUGAUGACCACCCGCAAAAAAGUUCAAAGCUUAACAAGAUAAGGAAAUUCCUUUUAUUAGAUGAAAAGAAUCGCUUACCGUUCUAUAACGGUGUCAACGUUCGCCUUGCUCUCAGGACCAUGCUCAGAACUCUCGUAAGGCUUAAUAUGUCCCGAUAAUCACCCAUUUGCUGUGCUUCUUCAUCAGAAGUUUGGGAAGCUAGCUUCUCCUCAGUAAAGGGAAUGAAUGUGGAGCAACCACUACAGAUCUCGGAGCAACCACUACAGAUGUCAAGUUUGCAUCUGCUUCAAGUUUAAUACAAAGAAUAGCCAUUGCGUAGGCAACCCCUCCAAAUCCUGUGUGUGAUACAAACAGAUAAGACCCUGCAGAGCUUUUUUUAAGCCAGAAAAAAAAAAUGAAAGAAAUAAAUUCAGUUCAUUUACAACAUCAUUAUUUAAUCAGAACUGAGAUGGAAAGGAAUUGAAGAAAAAACCAAAGAUGUUGCUGAAUCAUUUUACUCUGAAAUCAUCACUAUAAUCUUAAUUUGCAUGCCUUCUUUUACUACCAAUCAUAGUCCACAUCGCAUAUAACACAAAAUUCACAUUUCAUCAAGAACUGAGAGCAUCCAAUAUGUAAUAUAUGGCUUCACUAUGGUUUCAGAAUAUGUCUAGUGGACGCAUAAAGAUUGCAAUGGUACUUCAAAUAGUCAAAUAUUAAUCUUUACAUGGUUUCACAGUAUAUACGUACUUCAAAUACAUAAUGGAUAUGCUUAGAACCACACAGUUCUCUACAGAUAUACACAUUUAAACAUCUUUUUUUUUUUUUUUAGUCAUCAAACCUGGAUGCUGAUGUACCUGAGACGAAAGAUGGUAUGAAACCUUCAAAGUUUGGAUGGCAAUGUUACGUCACCAGCUAGUUCAAAAACUUUACAAGUUAGACCACCAACCAUUGCAUCUAUACUUAAUAGGAUAGAAAUGUAUAUAUUAUAGAAAAAUCUAGUCAGUUUUGUUAAGAUUGUUCUACCAAUAAUAAAAGUGCAAUAAGAAUCCAACAAGCAAGUACAACAUUUCCAGAUAAAAAGAUAUUAGAAGACUUCGAUGGUCAAACAGUUAAAAGGUAAAAUACUAAACUAGCAUAAAAGGUGGUUAAGACUCGCAUUUCUUCUAGCUUUUUAAGAUACUUCCCCUAAUGUUCAAUAGAUGUACACAAUACGUUCCCUACUGUUAACUUUAGCUAUAAUCAUAAAAGGCAGACAGGUACAUAUAAAAAAAAAUAAAACAGAUAUAAUAUUUACAAGGUACAGAAAUAUCAUCUGAUGAUGGCCUAAAUUUCUACAGAAUAAUUAACACCAUUGAAUCAAAGUUAAUUGUGGAAAGGUCAUCAAUAAUGUAAAACCUAGAAGGGAGGUUUAUGUCAUUUUGCAAAACUAGGGAGGCAGUAGCUGACGUUUUGUCCUAAAAAGUGUUGAAUUGUUCUGUUGUUAAAAUUUUUGAAUUCUGAUAAGGAUUAAUUACAACAAGAACCACUUAGAUUUUGCCAAUUUACUAUUCGAUUUUCAAUUUAGCUAUAAUAAAUAUCCCCCCUGCCAUUAAGUUUCAACAUUCCAUUAAAGAACAUAUUUUAGAAAGAAUCUAACCAAUUAGAAGAUUACAUGAUGGUACCCUGACACAGCCUUCUACAUGAUAGGAGACAUUUCAAUUUUCAAGUUGAUAUGCAGCUAAGAUCAUGAAAAACCACUUUAUCUUUGCUAUAACUAAUUAUGGUACUUACUCAUCUUUGCAGUACUGGAUAGCAUCAAUAUCAGAGGCCAGAGCCUCUCUCUCUCUAGUUAAAGGUAUCCUCCUGUAUGCUAUAUUAUAGCAUUCAUUUUUCAGAGCUGCAUAAACCUCAGCCGGAGUCUUGAUAUCAUCUGCAAAUAUAUUCUCCCAAUAUCCAAUGACACUGACUUGAUUUGACACUGGACUAUAUUCUUCACGGUGUAAAAGCAUUCGACCACCAGAAUGUCUAAUCUCUGUUAUGAUAUCUUCUUUAAGUCGUACCUCCAUGUGUUCUACCUAUGAAGCAGUGAGGAAACAAAGUUAGGAUACAUUGGAUAUGCAACUAGUACCUCCAGCCUUAUUUUUGGACCCUGCAAAGUGGCAGUAAAGCAAAUAAAGACGUACAACUGAACCAGUGAUUCCAACAUGUUUCAGCGUGUCAACAGGGUUAUUCAGCGCCCUGAGCACAAAAGGCGUUCCAUUGAUAUAAACAACUGCUUCUUCCCUCAGAUCAGUUACAUUAACUUCUGAGGAGUGCUUCCAGUAGGAUCAGGCUUGGCACCAAGGUAUGCUAACAUGCCCUUUGCACCGCAAUUGUUGGUGUUGCCAUACUGUAUACAGGAUAACCAUCCACCUGAAAGGAAUAAUCAAAUUAACUUGCCCCAUACAAACAGAUUAAGCCAUUUUACUUCCAGAAAGAAAAUCCAUAAUUUCUUUAGAGGAUCUCCUAAUCUUCCAGACAAACUAGACAAGAUCAUAUGAGUGAAAAAUAUUGGUAUCUGUGGGAUAAAAUUUCAUUGAUUACAGUUUUCCAAACAUCAAAAACUCAUUAAGAGCUAGAGUGUAAUCAUAUUACUGAGUAGGACUGACAAAAUAACUGAUAUACAGAAGUACAGAGACAAAAACAUGCAUUAUCCUACAUAAGAUCAAGCAGGUACUUUUGCAAAAGCAGCUUGAAAUUCAAGUUGAAUUGUUUGGACUAUCAUCCAAGUACAACAUCUAAUCCUUUUCAUUCAGGCUGCAUCUGCUAAAUUUUAACUACAGGUCUAGACAAAUUGUGAUUAUCUACAAUUGAAAUAAAGAGUUUGUACUAGAACUUAUAUCCUGGUACCUUGUCUUAGCAGGUACCUAACAAUCAGAAAGUUGGGGGUUCAAAACUGAUACAGCUAACUCUUACAUUCUUCUUUGAGAGCAUCAGGGAGAGUCGGGCAACAUUUUUAUGUUGAAGGUGGGAAGAGAAGGUUCUUAACAUGACACCAAAUCAAGGAGGACACUGGAGAAAGUGGAAAGGGAAGAGAGGAGAGAGAUGAGAGUGAAUACUGUGUCAUGACUAGUGGUAUCAUAUAGAAAGACUUGGCUUUUAUAAACAAAAAGGGGGAGAAAGAGUAGAAAUGUUGAAUACCCAAUUGUGUUAGGAAAUGAGCAGUAAAAUACUUGUUUUGGCAUGAAAAGAAUAAAGUAUUCAGAGAUGUACGCACAUAGAUGCUAGGAUAGCUUGUUUGAGCU